UCUGUAGCUCAGUGGAUAGAGCGCCGGCCUCCGGAGCCGGGUGCGAUGGUUCGAUUCCAUUCAGA
rnacentral:tRNA from 1 species